rnacentral:lncRNA from 1 species
GAAAAUUUAAAUCUAUUCUUAGUAUUAUCAACAAAUGUUUUACAUCUUAUUCAGCUUUUGAUUGAUAAAGCUUAGUGCCUCUUUGCAAGUCAUUCUAAUAUUAUUGUUUACUCCAAUGAACAAGCCUCAGUGUAGAGUAACAAAACCUCUAACUGUGAAUGAAACCUCUAAUUUUAACCAAAACUUCAUCAACUCUCAUCAACGUCAUUAUCAAAUCACCAAUGCUCAGCAGUCUUCAAGAUACAUGCAAAUACGAACUUUGUGGGAGCUUGACGUAAUAAUUUUGCACCAUAUUCAGACUUCUAUUCUCCUAAUAUUAUUAUCCUUUAAAAAGAUCUAAUCGAUGUGUUGCUACAAAUGUUUCUCCUCCUAUUUGUUACAUGAUUUACUCUCCGCAUACAAGCGUUGAACAACUAUAAGGUGCUAAAGUUUUGAAGACGGUGGCUUCAGGAUUGCGGAUUGAAGCGGUGCUACUCUGUUCAAUCACCAGAUUACGUUUUGACGCAUGAAAUCCUUGCGUAGCGUCGGCAUGCAUCUGAUUGUGCUUGCUUCGAAUGGAGGGGCUAAGACGAUUCCAGUUGGACCUCGGCAGUCCAACAAAGCCACUGCAUUCCAAGGCGAUUUUCGAUCUAAAUCAUGCAGAUGACAAACUCUUUGAUGCACCCUCAUCGAAACGCGUCGUUAAAGCAACAAUGGGAGCUGUCAGAUUGCUUGAAACACAGGAGGUUCGUGUAGUG